GACGAACGCUGGCGGCGUGCUUAACACAUGCAAGUCGAACGGAAAGGCCCUGCUUUUGUGGGGUGCUCGAGUGGCGAACGGGUGAGUAACACGUGAGUAACCUGCCCUUGACUUUGGGAUAACUUCAGGAAACUGGGGCUAAUACCGGAUAGGAGCUCCUGCUGCAUGGUGGGGGUUGGAAAGUUUCGGCGGUUGGGGAUGGACUCGUGGCUUAUCAGCUUGUUGGUGGGGUAGUGGCUUACCAAGGCUUUGACGGGUAUCCGGCCUGAGAGGGUGACCGGCCACAUUGGGACUGAUAUAAGGCCCAGAGCCCUACGGGGGGCAGCAGUGAGAGAUAUUGUAUAAUGGGCGGAAGCCUGAUGCGGCAACGCCGCGUGCGAGAUGACGGCCUGCGGGUUGUAAACCGCUUUCGACUGUGACGAAGCGUGAGUGACGGUAAUGGGUAAAGAAACGCCGGCUAACUACGUG
rnacentral:rRNA from 1 species